rnacentral:rRNA from 1 species
AUUGAACGCUGGCGGCAGGCCUAAUACAUGCAAGUCGAGCGAGCGGCGGACGGGUGAGUAAUGUAUGGGGACUGCCCGAUAGAGGGGGAUAACUUCUGGAAAAGGUAGCUAAUAACGCAUACUAUCGGCUAACACAUUUGGGAUUAGCUAGUAGGUGAGGUAAUGGCUCACCUAGGCGACGAUCCCUAGCUGGGCUGAGAGGAUGAUCAGCCACAAUGGGACUGAGACACGGCCCAGACUCCUACGGAGGCAGCAGUGGGGAAUAUUUCACAAUGGGCGCAAGCCUGAUGCAGCCAUGCCGCGUGUAUGAAGAAGGCCCUAGGGUUGUAAAGUACUUUCAGUCGGGAGGCGUUACCGACAGAAGAAGCACCGGCUAACUCCGUGCCAGCAGCCGCGGUAAUAC